GACAGAGGGUGCAACCGUUGUUCGGAAUUACUGGGCGUAAAGCGUGUGUAGGCGGUCCGCUAAGUCGGGUGUGAAAGCCCUGGGCUCAACCCAGGAAGUGCACUCGAAACUGGCGGGCUAGAGUAUCGGAGAGGUUGGUGGAAUUCUCGGUGUAGAGGUGAAAUGCGCAGAUAUCAGGAAGAACACCCGUGGCGAAGGCGGCUCUCUGGGACGGUACUGACGCUGAGACGCGAAAGCGUGGGGAGCAAACAGG
rnacentral:rRNA from 1 species